rnacentral:rRNA from 1 species
AGUCGAGCGGAACGAGAUAUCUGAACCUUCGGGGAACGAUAACGGCGUCGAGCGGAGGACGGGUGAGUAAUGCCUAGGAAAUUGCCCUGAUGUGGGGGAUAACCAUUGGAAACGAUGGCUAAUACCGCAUGAUGCCUACGGGCCAAAGAGGGGGACCUUCGGGCCUCUCGCGUCAGGAUAUGCCUAGGUGGGAUUAGCUAGUUGGUGAGGUAAGGGCUCACCAAGGCGACGAUCCCUAGCUGGUCUGAGAGGAUGAUCAGCCACACUGGAACUGAGACACGGUCCAGACUCCUACGGGAGGCAGCAGUGGGGAAUAUUGCACAAUGGGCGCAAGCCUGAUGCAGCCAUGCCGCGUGUGUGAAGAAGGCCUUCGGGUUGUAAAGCACUUUCAGUCGUGAGGAAGGUAGUGUAGUUAAUAGCUGCAUUAUUUGACGUUAGCGACAGAAGAAGCACCGGCUAACUCCGUGCCAGCAGCCGCGGUAAUACGGAGGGUGCGAGCGUUAAUCGGAAUUACUGGGCGUAAAGCGCAUGCAGGUGGUUUGUUAAGUCAGAUGUGAAAGCCCGGGGCUCAACCUCGGAAUUGCAUUUGAAACUGGCAGACUAGAGUACUGUAGAGGGGGGUAGAAUUUCAGGUGUAGCGGUGAAAUGCGUAGAGAUCUGAAGGAAUACCGGUGGCGAAGGCGGCCCCCUGGACAGAUACUGACACUCAGAUGCGAAAGCGUGGGGAGCAAACAGGAUUAGAUACCCUGGUAGUCCACGCCGUAAACGAUGUCUACUUGGAGGUUGUGGCCUUGAGCCGUGGCUUUCGGAGCUAACGCGUUAAGUAGACCGCCUGGGGAGUACGGUCGCAAGAUUAAAACUCAAAUGAAUUGACGGGGGCCCGCACAAGCGGUGGAGCAUGUGGUUUAAUUCGAUGCAACGCGAAGAACCUUACCUACUCUUGACAUCCAGAGAACUUUCCAGAGAUGGAUUGGUGCCUUCGGGAACUCUGAGACAGGUGCUGCAUGGCUGUCGUCAGCUCGUGUUGUGAAAUGUUGGGUUAAGUCCCGCAACGAGCGCAACCCUUAUCCUUGUUUGCCAGCGAGUAAUGUCGGGAACUCCAGGGAGACUGCCGGUGAUAAACCGGAGGAAGGUGGGGACGACGUCAAGUCAUCAUGGCCCUUACGAGUAGGGCUACACACGUGCUACAAUGGCGCAUACAGAGGGCGGCCAACUUGCGAAAGUGAGCGAAUCCCAAAAAGUGCGUCGUAGUCCGGAUUGGAGUCUGCAACUCGACUCCAUGAAGUCGGAAUCGCUAGUAAUCGUGGAUCAGAAUGCCACGGUGAAUACGUUCCCGGGCCUUGUACACACCGCCCGUCACACCAUGGGAGUGGGCUGCAAAAGAAGUAGGUAGUUUAACCUACGGGGGACGCUU